AUUGAACGCUGGCGGCGUGCUUAACACAUGCAAGUCGAGCGGUAACAGGCGUAGCAAUACGUGCUGACGAGCGGCGAACGGGUGAGUAAUACAUCGGAACGUACCGUGUAGUGGGGGGAUAACGUAGCGAAAGUUACGCUAAUACCGCAUACGAUCUACGGAUGAAAGCAGGGGACCUUCGGGCCUUGUGCUAUACGAGCGGCCGAUGUCUGAUUAGCUAGUUGGUGAGGUAAAGGCUCACCAAGGCGACGAUCAGUAGCGGGUCUGAGAGGAUGAUCCGCCACACUGGGACUGAGACACGGCCCAGACUCCUACGGGAGGCAGCAGUGGGGAAUUUUGGACAAUGGGCGAAAGCCUGAUCCAGCCAUGCCGCGUGUCUGAAGAAGGCCUCGGUUGUAAGGACUUUGUCUAGGGAGGCAAAACUUAACUGGUUAAUACCGGUCGAGGCUGAGAGUACCUGAAGAAUAAGCACCGGCUAACUACGUGCCAGCAGCCGCGGUAA
rnacentral:rRNA from 1 species